UCCGAAUUGGUGUAGUGGCUAACAUUUGACGCUCUCACUUGCCUCCUCUUCUGAGGAUCCAUCUGUUCCGUCAAGCCCGGGGUUCGAUUCCCCGAUUCGGAG